UACGUAGGUGGCAAGCGUUACUCGGAAUCACUAGGCGUAAAGCGCAGGUAGGAGGUUGGGUAAGUCUCUUGUGAAACCUCCAGGCUCAACCUGGAGACGCCACGCGAUACUGCCGUGACUUGAGUUCGGGUAGGGGAUCACGGAAUUCCUGGUGUAGCGGUGAAAUGCGCAGAUAUCAGGAAGAACACCUAUGGCGAAGGCAGCUCUCUGGGACGGUACUGACGCUGAGACGCGAAAGCGUGGGGAG
rnacentral:rRNA from 1 species